AAGAGCCCCUAUCGACAAGUGGGUUUACGACCUCGAUGUUGGAUCAGGGUAUCCCGGUGGUGCAGCCGCUACCAAAGGUUCGUUUGUUCAACGAUUAAAACCCUACGUGAUCUGAGUUCAGACCGGAGUAAUCCAGGUCAGUUUCUAUCUAUAAAGAGCUUUCUCUAGUACGAAAGGACCGAAAAAGCAUGGCCUCUAUAAAAUAUAAGCCCUAGCUAAUAACUUAUGAAUUAAACUUAAUAAAAACAUAGCCUAANCACCACUCUCAAAACAAGAGCAGUUAACGUAGCAAAACCUGGUAUUGCAAAAGACCUAAACCCUUUCUACAGAGAUUCAAAUCCUCUCGUUAAC
rnacentral:rRNA from 1 species